rnacentral:rRNA from 1 species
CCGCAACGAGCGCAACCCUCGCCCUUAGUUGCCAUCAUUUAGUUGGGCACUCUAAGGGGACUGCCGGUGAUAAGCCGGAGGAAGGUGGGGAUGACGUCAAGUCCUCAUGGCCCUUACGGGCUGGGCUACACACGUGCUACAAUGGCGGUGACAGAGGGAUGCAAAGGGGCAACCCUUCGCAAAUCUCAAAAAGCCGUCUCAGUUCGGAUUGGGGUCUGCAACUCGACCCCAUGAAGUUGGAAUCGCUAGUAAUCGCAGAUCAGCACGCUGCGGUGAAUACGUUCCCGGGCCUUGUACACACCGCCCGUCACACCAUGGGAGUUGGCUUUACCUGAAGACGGUGCGCUAACCGCAAGGAGGCAGCCGGCCACGGUAGGUCAGCGA